CAGUCGCCGCGGGAAUACGUAGGUGGCAAGCGUUGUCCGGAAUUAUUGGGCGUAAAGGGCUCGCAGGCGGUUUCUUAGGUCUGAUGUGAAAGCCCCCGGCUCAACCGGGGAGGGUCAUUGGAAACUGGGAAACUUGAGUGCAGAAGAGGAGAGUGGAAUUCCACGUGUAGCGGUGAAAUGCGUAGAGAUGUGGAGGAACACCAGUGGCGAAGGCGACUCUCUGGUCUGUAACUGACGCUGAGGAGCGAAAGCGUGGGGAGCGAACAGGAUUAGAUACCCCUGUAGUCCCUGUCUCUUAUAC
rnacentral:rRNA from 1 species